AUACCACCCUGAAUAUUACUUGGUAUCGGCUCGGAAAGAAAAUCAGUGGUAUCGCACAUCACUACUGAACGACAUUGACCGAAAAUUCUUUUCAAUAUGGCUGCCCUUCUCGAGCGACUAGAGAGCACAUUUGGAGAAACUUGUCAGUAAAACGGAACCUUCGUUAUGUUUAUUUUAAAAAAGCAAGUAUAUUAAUAUGUUGCAGCCAGGAACUUCUUUUCGAAUGCGCUGUUGUGUUAAAAAGCACAGACCCAGGUGGUGAAUAGUUGUUCGCUGUUGUUCGUGCUCUUUUUUCAAACAUAGAUUAUGUUGUCAGUUUUACAGUUUUAACAGAUUAAAACACAGUUUUAAUAAGAAUCACACAUAAAGAGAGGGUCUUAGUGAUAUUUUAACGACCCCUUGCCAACGCAAGAAAGUUUUCACAACAGCAGCCUCAUUGUUCGGCAGUUUUUUUUUUUCUUCUCAUUAGCAUCAUUCAAAAGUGACUUAGCUAGCAGUGGCAACUUCUAUCUAAAACAAUUAAAAGUAAUACCCAGAUUGAAAUAUAGCAAGGUGUUGUAUAUUUAGUGUGCUGAUAAGGUUUUCAGUAUUUUUAUUUUUUCUUCCAAGGCUGAAGACCGAAGCCAAAAAGACCGAAGAAAAAAAAUUCAGACUGCAAGUAAUUUCAGGUGGACACAGUAAACACAGGUGAGUUGAAAGAUCUAUUAAAGAGUCCUUUCUUCAUGGCCAUUAAAACAUUUUUAGGUUAAAAGACCUGUUUUUUUAAAUCAUGCCCCUGCUAUGUCACACUGAAUCAUGUUGAAAAGAUAUAUUUUCAUGGCUCCCCCCAUUACCAUUACCUUGUACUUCUUUCUACCAGUCUAUUUUAUUUUGUGACAUUAACAUCUUAAAUGUACCCCUAAUUAUUAAUAGCUGUGUUAGUAUUUAUAAUGCAUUUUUUUUAUCAUGUGCAGAUCUACCAAGGGUCAGUGGCACAGUUCACCUUUUGUGGAGGCACCUGAUAUCAACGUGAAACGCACUGCAGUGCUUCGUGCCCUUCCUGUAUACCUGCAGGAGGAGGACCCAGAAUUCUUUAAGACAUGUAAUGUACAUAAAGCCCUAACUGGACCGAGAGCAUGUAGGCGCUCCUGCCCGAGGCAAAUCACACACGCAUCAUGUGUAUCUGAACCUGAGAUUUUGCAACCGCAGGGGCGAAUUCUGGGCAGCGGUUUGCAGUCUGCCAUAUUAAGGAAGCUUGGUGUAGCUAGCUUGGAAUGGCUGGACGGCUAACGCUGAUUUUUUAUUUAUUUUUUUCUUCUCUCGGUCGGGUAGCUAUGGUGAACUAGUAUGACCUAGCUAGUGUGGUGGCUAGCGCUUGUGCUACUUGGCUUGGUGACCGUGUGUAGCAAAGACAGUUAGCUUGGUCAGCUAACUGUUGUGCUAGGUGCGUGGUGGCAGCUAACACACUCUCCGACCUGGCUCUGUGGUGAAGAGCAAGCGACUCGAAACGCGAGCCGUGCUAGUGCCCAGUGACCAAGGUGUUAGCUUGCUUGCGUGGACAGUUAAGCUAGCACUCAUGUUCACAGUCAGGAGAGAUGAGGUUUCUAAGAAGCGAGAAGAGGAAAUUGAAUGACGGGUGACGCUGCGUCACACCCUUUUAUAGGGAGAAGGGUGGCCCCUCCCUGACGCAAGCGUCAUGACUGCCAGCCAAUACUGGCUGGAGUAAUGAUAUAGAGGCUUCUGAGGACAACGCUGAGAGAGCGUUCCCCAUAGUGAGACACCGAAACGAAUGUUUGAAAGAGAACAGGAGGGAGAGACAGAGAAAGAGCCAGGAACA